UCCCCAUUCGGUAUAAGCAGGAAUACAUGUAUCCCAAUUAGGUUUCUUGUUUGCACAAAAAAUUGCAGCCGGCAGCUCGUAGCCCUCGAGAGAGAAGGCAUAUUUCCAGUUUGUUCGUGAGUCUAACGUCCAUGGCACACACCAUUUAUGGAGUAAUUUCGAUUUCAAUAUUGUCGAAUUCCCUCCAGAUUUGGAAUUUCAAUGGCCUCGAUCAAUGUUAGAUUCACGCACAAACUCGUGAUAUGUCUUUUCAGUUUUAAUUGAUCUGACCUCUGAUUAAUUGAGAGAUUCAUCUUAUGGAGUGAAUGGUUAUCAGAUUCAAUUGCAGACCAGUGGAUCUGUUAUCUGUGGUUUGGUUAUUGGAUUUGUUUUUUGAAUAACCGUGCUCUUAUUUGUUGAUCUGAUUUGUUAACUUGAAUCGCUCUUCCGUUUUGCGCAAGGUAUUUUUCGACUGGUUCAUUUCUGUUUGGGGUAUGAUUCAUGAUUAUGGUCAGUGUUAGAUCUAUUGAUUCAUUAUCAUUUUAAUGCUAAUUAUGAGGAGUUUUGUUGUAAGAUUAGGCAGCUGAGUAGAAAACAGCUUCAUCUGUUCUGAAAUUUGAACCUUUAGAAUGAGGCUAUAAAUGGUACUCCAUAUGGUACACAAAGCUACUGCUGCUGCUCUGUUGUAUUGCUGCUGAAUGUCAUGUGUAUUGCAACCCAAGUUGGCAGCAACGGGACUGGAUGAGCCCUUUGCCUGAAGUGCCCAGUCACGAAAUACUCGUAACCUGCUGGAGGGUUCCUUAGAACCCUAGUCAUCUUCUCACAUGCUCUAGUGUAAAGCCUUCGUGUUAUGAUUCGAAAUGAUCCUGAACGGUAUGCUAAUUGCAGAAGCAUAUGCAAAACAUUUAAUUUUCACUUUCCUUUGUUUUACCAUGUUUCUUCAAGCUCUUUUCAAACCCUUCAAUCGAGUCGUAGGUUUGGGUUCCAAUCACGCCAUAAGGACAUUUGGAGGAACAAACACUGCUAUAGUCACUGGCCGGUGGGCUGAAGCAAGCUGCCCUAGUUACAAUGGUGUGAUCACGGAUGACCGACAUCGAGUCCAGGACCUGUUGGUCGACACGGCGGCCAAGGACUACGACGAUGAGAAGGAUAAUGCAACGAGGGCCAACUUUUCAGUGUCGAAUCGCAUAACUAACAAUGGUAUUAUCCACCUCGUUUUAAUGUCGUUAUUAAGUAAUAUCUCUGACUAAAAAAAUUAAUUUUCGUUA